AAGACCUAAAGGGUGACAGAAAUGAGAAAAAGAGGCAGAAGGGAGAGGAGUGUUUAACAAAAAAGAUGAUGACAUCUGUUGUGAACCUCAAAACACAAGAAAGAUGACACCAACUUUCCUAAGACUGCGCCUUGAGGGGAGCACCUGAAGUAAUGCCUGAAACAAAGGAAUGAUUCAGCGUGUGGUGACUGGACUGCAUGGCACUUUCGAACCACUGGACCUGUCCCACAAUGGGGCAGUGAGUUUCCUGUCCCUCUACCUAUAAGGUAUCUAAAAGGUUUGGCCCUGCAUGUGGUAGAGGUGCUUUGAAGGGGGUUUUUUAGGAGACAGUCUAGGAGACGACCCUUAAAUAACCUGCCUGCAAUCUUCUUUAUGCUCAAUUGGUCAAUGAAGUUUUUUUCAGGGACAACAUAAAACAGUAGUUCUGCUAGCAUCACUGACUACACAUUAGAGUCACCUAUGAGCUCUUAAAAUAAACACUAGUGUCCAUGGGCCCUACUCUCAGAAUUUUGAUUUAAUUGAUGUAGGCUGAGACCUAUUCACCUGUUUUUAAUGCUUUCUGAGUAAUCCUAAAGUGCAGUGAAGGUGAACUACCACUAAUGUGAGAAAAAAAAAAUACUGCAAUAUGACUUCACAGCUAGCUCAGAACUAGUUCUCUGCAGAUUUCAUAAUUUAUAAUAAUUCCUGCUGGGAAGCCAGAAGACCCAUUCCUCUACUGUCACCAUAGCCAAAAAGCAUUAUCUUCAAGGCCUGAUUCAUCCUUACCUCCUCCAGGAAGCCUUCCCGGCCUGCUCCAGACUAAUUUUCUGUCCCCUUAUUGUACUUCCUGCCAGUACUUGCAUCCCUGCUUUGACUUAUAUCUCUUUGGCCCAGAAUACCCCCUUAUACCCUUCUCCUUUCCUUCCUGAGCCUCCACCACACUCCAAAUUGAGUACUCUGAACUUAUCCUGUGCAUAUCUACCCACCAAACUCUGUUUUAUAAUUGCCUGCCCAUUUGUAUGUCUCUCAAUGAAACUGCAGGCACCCCGAGAACAAGAACUGUGACAUAUUUACUUUGGCAACCACGGCACUUAGCAUGUGCAAUAGAGUAAGCACAAUUGCAUAGAUGAAUGGAAGGAAGAUGAAUGAAUGGCCAGAUGGAUGAAUGAAGGGGUAGUACUCUUUGUAGGGCUUAACUGCACUGUCUGAAUUGUUUAGUCUCUGCUACAUUUCUCACAUGUCUCUAUUAUCUAACUUGGGAAAGAAUAUUUCCUAGUGAUCACCUUUUCCCAACCAUAAAUUUUAUCUGUCAGUUGACUGACUCACAGCCUGAAAAUAACUUGUUUAUUAGUUUUCUGCAACAAAAGACCCAGUCUUAGCAUCACAUUGUAAGGUUAGAAAAGGUCUUAUCAUGUAAUGAACGCUUACUGGGUGCUGGGGGCUUUAAAUGCAUUAUUUCUUCUCAAUGUCAACUCCUCCUAUUUGUCAGUUGCAGAAUCUGAAACUCAGAGUUUUAAGUAACUUGCUCCAAACCAGCCUCAGCAGUAGUUGAGAUUUAAGCCUAGAUUCUUUCCCACAGAGGCCCAUUUCUUCUCCUGUCUCAGUUUCUGUCCUUCAGGUAGAGACUACAGGAGUGCCGACAUUAAAUACUUCAAUACAAGGUCCAUGAGGACCAAAGCUCCAAGAGGACCCAAACCCGACAGACCUGGAUCUUCACAGUGUUCUGAGGGUCCUGCACAUGUUCCAGGGUUGCAUCAACAUCCAGGGCCACCACUAACCCGGAUGUAAACCGCAAAGGGUUGUCUGACUCGCCUGCUGGCUCGAUGAUGGUGGCUGAGGCUUUGUGGAUCUGUAAGCAAGAAGAAAAUACCAUGAUUCUAAAGUCAGGUCAUUCCUGGAUAAAAAAACACAAUCUUUGAUCUUCUCUCUCCUUAUCUAAUGAGUGGGCAUGUGGGAGCCACUCAGAAAAGAGCCUAACCCAGUUACUCCAUUGGUCAAAGAAGAUCACCAAGGUGAAGAUUUUUGACUGUCUGGACAGAUUUGGCCUAUAGGGGCCAAAUAGACCCUGACCUGCUCUGGAAGUGGGAGAUGCAGGAAGGCACUCUGCCGCAGCGUGGUCUGUAGAAUUUUGACCACUUCUGCAGGUUUGGAUGUCAUGAGUCGGGGCAUAAGGUCAAGAAGUUUGUCCACAAAGCUGUCCUGCAAGUGCGGCAAAUCAGUGAUGAAAUACCU